rnacentral:lncRNA from 1 species
CAAAGAUGUUGAGUUUUAUUCAUUGGCUCGAUUCCAAUCAAAUUAGACUAGCAAUUCGCCAAAAAGAACAAACCCGAAGUUAUCAUGAAAUCAAAAACCACACUUUUAUGCUUUGCGACGAUCCCAUUUCAUCAUAAACUCUAAUCUGUUAUGCACUUCAUCAUUCUCCCCAAGGUGGGAAAAAUUCGCCCUCAAAUUUGACGGGAAAAAGCUUCAUCCUCAUCAGAAUUAUCACCACGAAAUGGUACCAAAUGCUUGAUAUUGAAUACGUCAGAUGUACGAAUAUGGCUAGGCAACUUCAAACGAUAAGCAUCUUCUCAAUGACCUCCAAUAGACCAAUCUUCUUCGCAGUAAGCUUGUUAUAUUCAUGAGCAGGAACACGAUCCUUUGUUAACAUCACCCAAACAAAGUCACCUACCUCAAAUUCAACAUGUCGGCAUUUAAGAUCCACAGCACACUUAUACUCAGUGACAGCAGCCUGCAACUGAUCAUGAGCCUGUGAGUGAACCUGCUGCAAUUGCUUAAUAAAGUCUUCAGCCUUACCAUGCAUUUUAACAGAAGUAGAAACUGGAACCAGAUCAAGAGGGCCACGAGGAACAAGGCCAUACACUACCUGGAACGGACUAAAACCUGUACUUCGAUUAACAGCAUGAUUGUGAGCAAAUUCUGCUUGACACAACUUUUGAUCCCAAGACUUGAUGUGAUCACCAACCAGGCAACGUAAUAAAUCACCCAAGGAACGGUUAACAACUUCUAUUUGACCAUCUGUCUGAAGGUGAUAUGCACUGUUGAAGUCCAACCAUGUAUUCACCGAGCGCCAUAAGCUGCGCUAGAAGUGGCUGAGGAAACGAGUAUCCCGAUCAGACAUAAUAGAUGUAGGUAGUCUAUGCAGGCGAUAAACCUCACGAAAAUACAGUAAUGCCACGUUGAUAGCAUCUGUAGUCUUCUUGCAGGGGAUGAAAUGUACCAUCUUUGAAAAUCGAUCAACCACUACGAAGAUCGAAUCAAACCCACGUUUAGUCCUGGGGAGUCCCACAACGAAACCCAUGCUCACGUCUGUCCAAGGCUGGGUUGGAAUAGGCAAGGGCAUAUACAGGCCCACAUUUGUCGCCUUACCCUUGGGCAAGUGGCAAACCCGACAACGCUCCACAAACUUGCCGACAUCUUUGCGCAAUGAUGGACAAAAGUAAGAAGCAGCAACAAGCUCCAAUGUUCAGUCAGGACCCACAUGGCUCUCAUUAUAUAAUUCUUAAAUGAUCUUCAACUUCAAACUGCCCUCUAGAAUAUACAACUGAUUGCCAUGAAAAAGAAAACCAUCAACCCAUGCAAACUCCGACUGCACACCCUUCGCAACUUCUGGAACCUCCACAUGCAUUUCUGUAAGGAGAGUUUGGCGCCUACUCCAUGCAUCUGCAAUUUUGUUAAGAGCACUUGCCUUGUGCUUGAUCACAAAAGUAAAAUGCUGUAAGUAAGCAAUCCAAGAGGCAUGUCGAGCAGAUACCUUAUCUUGAGUACCAAAGUGUUUAAGGGCGACAUGAUCCAUAUACAAAAUGAACUCCUUAUGGAACAAAUAGUGACGCCAAUGUCGAACGGCCUAGACUAUUGCAUAGAACUCCACAUCAUAAGUAUCAUACCGAGACUUCGAGCUAGAAAGCUUCUCACUGAAAUAUGCAACAGGGCGGUUGUUCUAACUCAGCACACCGCCAAUACCCACUUUCGAAGCAUCACAAUGUAGCUCAAAUGGUUGGGUAAAGUCAAGCAACACCAAAAUUGGAGCAGUAGUCAACUUCUGCUUAAUCAAUUGGAAAGACGACUCUGCCUCGUGAGUCCACUGGAACCUACCAUCCUUCAUGCAAUCUGUAAUUGGUGCCAUGAUGCUGCUAAAAUGUGGUAUGAACUUGCGAUAGAAGGAAGCAAGGCCAUGAAAACUCCGCACCUCAGUGACAGUCUUGGGUUGUGGCCACUGAUCGCCUCUACUUUAGAUGUAUCAACUGCUAACCCCGCCUUCGACACCACAUAACCCAGGAACACCACACUAUCAAUAAGAAAUGAACACUUCUUCACUGCAGCAUAGAAUUUAUCCAUGCGAAGAACUGAAAGAACUUCCCCAACGUGCUGGACAUGAUCAUCAUCGUUAGCACUAUAAAUUAAAAUAUCAUCAAAGUAGACCACAACAAAUUUACCGACGAAUGAGCGAAGAGCCUGAUUCAUAACCAGCAUGAACGUACUGGGUGCAUUUGAGAGGCCGAAGGGCAUGACUAACCACUCGUACAAUCCUUCCCUCGUCUUAAAUGCGAUCUUCCACUCAUCCCCAUGUCUGAUCCGAAUCUGAUGGUACCCACUCUUCAAAUCAAGCUUGCUAAACACACAAGCACUGGUAAGCUGGUCCAACAAAUCAUCCAGGCGAGGAAUAGGAAAAUGGUAACGCACCAUAAUCUUAUUGAUCGCCCUACUAUCCACGCACAUGCGCCACAUGACAUCCUUCUUCGGCGUGAGAAGAGCAGGAACAACACAAGGACUAAGACUUUCCCUGAUGUGUCCUUUUGCCAGAAGCUCCUCAACUUGCCUGCGCAACUCCUCAUGCUCAGUGGGGCUCAUUCUGUAAUGCGCUCGGUUAGGUAGGGCAGCACCAGGCACCAAGUCAAUCUGAUGCUGAAUAUCCCGUAGUAGUGAUAAUCCAUCUAGAAGAUCUUUUGGGAAAACUUCAUGAAACUUCUUUAGCAAUGCUGAACUGCAAGAGGGAUUUCAUGCUCACUGUAUCAAUUUUCCCACCAGCACAUACACUACCCCAGACUCCUCCAUCUCGGUCUCGAACUUCUUUUUGGUCAGUAAAUUGGCGUUGUUCCCAACUGUUUGCACUAAACCCUUAUUCGGUAGUAACAGAAUUUUCUUUCUCCCAAACAGAAAACUGUACGUGUUGGUAUGUCCAUCAUGCAGUGAGUGCCUGUCAAACUACCACGGCCUCCCAAACAAUAAAUGACAUGCAUCCAUCUGUACUAUAACCUGAUCCUUGUAGGUAGGUCCAAUUGAGAAGCUGAUUCGAGCACGGUGAGACACUUCUACAUCGUUGCCUCUCUUCAGCCAGGAUAAUUUGUACGGUUUGGGAUGUUUCUCAGUCUGCAAACCCAACUUCUUAACAACCUCCUCAGCCACCACAUUCUCGCAACUACCAGAAUCAAUAACAAAUUUACAUACCUUCCCUCCAACAGUACAUGUCGAUUGAAAGAUAUUGUUACGCAACCAAUCAGUGUUAUUCUCCAAGGGAGUCAAGAAACUCCUCCUCACCAUCGGUG